rnacentral:rRNA from 1 species
ACCAACAGGGAUUGCCCCAGUAACGGCGAGUGAAGCGGCAACAGCUCAGAUUUGAAAUCUGGCCCCUCCGGGGUCCGAGUUGUAAUCUGUAGAGGAUGCUUUUGGCGACGCGCCUUCCGAGUCCCCUGGAACGGGGCGCCAGAGAGGGUGAGAGCCCCGUAUGGUCGGACGCCGAACCUUUGUAAAGCUCCUUCGACGAGUCGAGUAGUUUGGGAAUGCUGCUCAAAAUGGGAGGUAAAUUUCUUCUAAAGCUAAAUACCGGCCAGAGACCGAUAGCGCACAAGUAGAGUGAUCGAAAGAUGAAAAGCACUUUGAAAAGAGGGUUAAAUAGCACGUGAAAUUGCUGAAAGGGAAGCGCUUGUGACCAGACUUGCGCCCGGUUGAUCAUCCAGCGUUCUCGCUGGUGCACUCUGCCGGGCUCAGGCCAGCAUCGGCUCCCCCAGGGGGAUAAAGGUCGCGGGAACGUAGCUCUCUCCGGGGAGUGUUAUAGCCCGUGGCGGAAUACCCUUAGGGGGGGUCGAGGCCCGCGUUCGCAAGGAUGCUGGCGUAAUGGUCACCAGCGACCCGUCUUGAAACACGGACCAAGGAGUCAAGCAUUAGGGCGAGUCUUUGGGUGUAAAACCCGCAGGCGCAAUGAAAGUGAACGGAGGUGAGAGCUUCGGCGCAUCAUCGACCGAUCCUGAUGUUCUCGGAUGGAUUUGAGUAAGAGCCUUACCGCUUGGACCCGAAAGAUGGUGAACUAUGCCUGAAUAGGGUGAAGCCAGAGGAAACUCUGGUGGAGGCUCGCAGCGGUUCUGACGUGCAAAUCGAUCGUCAAAUUUGGGCAUGGGGGCGAAAGACUAAUCGAACCAUC